GGCUAUUAAUGCCUAUGGGCAGGGCAGGCUGCUCCCUGAAGGCUGUGCAGCAGAAGCAACAGGGCAGGCUCCAGCCCCUGGUCCUUCUGCCCCCAGAGAAAGGUGCUUUCAGCUGCAGAGACCCAGCACCUGUGGAUGCACGGCAGUGAUUAUGUUCCAUGAUGCUGGAGCAAUACUGGGGCAACCCAGCGUACAGUGCUGGCUGGAAGGAGCAAUGCGGAGCACCAAGGAGAGGUUUUCCAGCCCUCGGACCUGCCCCCAUCACCCCAGUUCUUGCAGUGAAGCACGUGCAGAUGGGCAGGCUGUCUGGGGCUGGCAGGUGUGCUGACAUGUCCCAAAGGGACACCGUGCCAAGCUGGGUGCCGGCCACAUCGGGAAGCAGCAGGAGGUUAACAGGAGGCACAAUUGCCCCGCUUGUUUCUCCCUCCCAGUGGAGCUGCAGUGACUGAAUCGUCGCACAUCCAGCUCCGUUGUGUGAAUGUCUCUGCUCUUGUCCUUCCUAACCCUGACUUGUUGAUCGCAGAUCGGCAGUAAGUACUGCUGGAAGUGCUUCGUGCUGAAACCGUUGCUGUUUCCACUUAUUUUACACUUGAUUAUAGAUGAUGUAAAAAAAAAAAAAAAAAAAUCAACAACAGAACUAUACAUCUGUGACUUGUCAGAACUCUUUGUCACAUCUCUGAGUGCCAAUAAACAUGAAGUCUGCAUCCAUCAGUCACUUCUUGUAGCUUGUACUCCCUUGAGAGCCUGAUUCAGAGUCUGCUGAAGUCAACGU